GACCUUGAUUCAGAGGGACACUAAGUAUCUAGUUUGCAAACAGUGGUGCUGGUCCGGAAAUCUUUACUCAUACUAGCAUCACCGAAGAGUCCCACUAAAGCAGUCUCAUUGAGAUUACUCAGGAGAGUGAUCAAGAUCAAGCCUAAUUACUGUAAAUAAGGUGAUACAGCUGGCAAGACACAUACCGUGUUAUAUGAGAACAAUACAAUCUUUGGACUAAAGGAAGGGUGUCCUUUUGAUGUUUACAGAGAGAGGUGGCGAGUUGCUUAGUCAAGGCUGUCAGCUUGAUGCCAAUACAUUGUUCCUUGCAUUGAAUCGGUGCCUUGAGAUGAACGAUUAAGGAAGCAGGAGGUUGAAGGGGCAGUGGAAGGAUCUAAACAG